UACGGGGGAGCAAGCGUUGUUCGGAUUUACUGGGCGUAAAGGGCGCGUAGGCGGCCAGCACAAGUCAGUUGUGAAAUCUCCGAGCUUAACUCGGAAAGGUCAACUGAUACUGUGCGGCUAGAGUGCGGAAGGGCAACUGGAAUUCUUGGUGUAGCGGUGAAAUGCGUAGAUAUCAAGAGGAACACCUGCGGCGAAGGCGGGUGCUGGGCCGACACUGACGCUGAUGCGCGAAGCUAGGGGAGCGAACGGG
rnacentral:rRNA from 1 species